rnacentral:rRNA from 1 species
CCAAACUGUUGCCUCGGCGGGAUCUCUGCCCCGGGUGCGUCGCAGCCCCGGACCAAGGCGCCCGCCGGAGGACCAACCAAAACUCUUUUUGUAUACCCCCUCGCGGGUUUUUUAUAAUCUGAGCCUUCUCGGCGCCUCUCGUAGGCGUUUCGAAAAUGAAUCAAAACUUUCAACAACGGAUCUCUUGGUUCUGGCAUCGAUGAAGAACGCAGCGAAAUGCGAUAAGUAAUGUGAAUUGCAGAAUUCAGUGAAUCAUCGAAUCUUUGAACGCACAUUGCGCCCGCCAGUAUUCUGGCGGGCAUGCCUGUCCGAGCGUCAUUUCAACCCUCGAACCCCUCCGGGGGGUCGGCGUUGGGGAUCGGCCCUGCCUUUGGCGGUGGCCGUCUCCGAAAUACAGUGGCGGUCUCGCCGCAGCCUCUCCUGCGCAGUAAUUUGCACACUCGCAUCGGGAGCGCGGCGCGUCCACAGCCGUUAAACACCCAACUUCUGAAAUGUUGACCUCGGAUCAGGUAGGAAUACCCGCUGAACUUAAGCAUAUCAAUAAACGGAGGAAAUUCCCGCUUAACUUUACUCUAUCUAAAGGAGGAGCUAUGCUUAUUGAGAGGAGUUUUUCCUCUAAAGGAGGAAGAGU